rnacentral:tRNA from 1 species
GCAAUAGUAGCUCAGCGACCGAGCGCCG